rnacentral:tRNA from 1 species
GCGGGUAUAGUUUAGUGGUAUGACGCGACCUUCCCAAGGUUGAGACGGGAGUUCGAUUCUCCCUACCCGCACUA